UGUGCGUCGCCGCGUGUUUUGGCGCUCCGUCGCCGGCAACGGACCAGCAAUGCGCGACGAUUCGAACGGCAGCCAGCAGCGCCCCUGCGGCGUGCGCGGUUCGGCGUGGGCUUCGAACCUGGCGGAGCGCUCCGCUCCGUCGGACGCCUCCGCAAACGUCCAACGCUCAACGCCGUCGUGCCGGUGCGACGCGGAAUGAUGUGAUUCAUGCGACAGCGUGUGCCGAAAGAAACGGGCCUAAGUGACGUGGUGGUGGUGGUGGUGGUUUUGGUGCGCGUCGCGCUGCCUUCAUCGCCACCGUCCUCGAUUUCCUUGUUUGUCCCCGUUACUCCGGCUGUCGGAGAACAGAACUUUCCCGACUGUCGUCCUCGUCUGGAUGACUGUUCCGUAGACUGGCGUCUCGUUCCGGCCUCUGAGCCGGUGGAAGUUUCCUAGCGGACUCGUCCCUCCUUAGCGUGCUACAAUACCCGACGGUCUUUCAGUAAUCACCUCAGGUGCUUUCAAAGGGGGAGGAACAACACGGAACCAAGUCUUUCUCGGGAGCGUUCCUUUCCGGAUUGCUUACAAAACACUCGCUGGAAAGCUCGUUGAUCUCCAGUUAUCGAGUGGACACUGCGCUUCGCCAGUACCUCCGGUCACAUCGUAACACGAGGAAUUGCAAGGACUUCGCCUGAAUCAACGUAUCAGCUCGAAUCAGUGUACAGUUAUCUGAUAGUGCGGUCUGCACAUCAGCCGCUCUCUGUGAUUACCUCCGUCGCUGGAUGCUUUUGUCUGUUCGUAAGUUAGUGAACAGUGACUGAUCUCAAAUCACGCUGUGCUGAUCUACAGGCCUCUCACGUCUCGCGCCGGUUCCCCCCCCCCCCCCCUCCCCCCACACGAGUCAUUGCUUGCGAUGCAACAGUUGAAGGUUGUGAAAAAACAAAAGACAAUUUAACUUUCCUCGCUAAACUGCGGCGGGGACGCCGCGUGAAGGCAGGAUUCGGGACGCUCAGAAAGCGUAUGGCAAUCACCUCUCUUCUCAACGCCUUGCUCGCCUUAACGGUCGUCCUCAAGGCAAAACUCAUCAGCAUCAAGCUCAGGUGACGGCCCCCUGUUUAGUCGCUAAUCUUUUGUCUCUUGCAAACGAGGAUAAUUAGCCCUUUGUGCCUUCUGCACGUUAAGGCGUCUCUCUACAAUAAGCUUCUGCUUUCUUUUUUUUUUUUCCGCAGCCGGAAAAUUUUGUCGACGUCGCCCGCAUCGUCGAGGAGUCGUCAUCGGCACUGCUGCUACUGCGACGUCACGUGACGAAGCCGCAGUGUGGACCUUUAGCAGGCGUGUAUUUUUUUGGUGCGCCUGUGUUUGUGUUGCUUAUUGUGUGUGCUUCGAUCUGUAUCUGCUCCCUCGCCGGGACGUCUGCUGCGGUUUACGUUCGUCGUCGGCCGAGCUUCCAGGAAGCCUGAAGCUUCAUACGCCACCUGUCGAGAAGAAAUAAUCAAUCAAUCAGCGGUCAAUUGACGAAAAGGCAUCGUCGCCGCAUUUGGAAGACGGGUGGUGCUUCGCCUGCGGUUGCGUCCGGUCAUCGCGUCUGUUUCCCUCCGGAUGCGAACCUUCAACCAGGUGUCGCCGGUGAUCCAGUUGGCGUCGCGAAAAUUCGUCGACAAGGAAGGCGGCCACUUACUCUGACGUCGUCUGCUGCGACGGCGCCAUCGAAGCGACGGCGACACCACGUCCAGCAAUGCACCGCGAAGGCAGUUAGCAGGCCGGGAUGCUGGUACGCCUGCGUCUGUGCCACUGGCAAUGUGUGUGUCGCUCUCGGGAUAAGGAUUUUCACCCCGACGUCUGCAAUAACUCGAGUCUCCUGCAGGCCUGGCGCCAGCUAAGCUGGACACUCCUGCUAAGUGCGUCAUCGUUCCCGUCAUCGAGGCACUUGGGACACCGCGGCUACAGAGAGCGAAUGGUCGUGCCCGACACCUAUAGUUGUCGCGGAUGUUGACACUAUACGCGUCUGUUUGUGCUCGCGAUGUGCGUUUUCUUCGGUGCGUACACCUUCGUCGCGGCGACCUCAGCGAGAACCCACGUUUCCUGUCAGCCGAGCCAGG